UCUCUGCCGUGAGCGACAGCGGGCAAAACAUUCGCCUUGUCCCUUAACAACGACACGGGGUGCGUGACGAAACCGGGUGUGCAUGUCUGCCUUGCAGCGGAAAGCCCGAUGGUUUCCCAGCGCUCCCACUUGAACCCCGGGUUCAAGGUCGUUUCGCCCGCAUCGUCAUGGCGGAGAA
rnacentral:other from 1 species